rnacentral:lncRNA from 1 species
AUGAGGACAUUAGGCGAGUGAGCAGGAGCCCUGAAGGCGAUGGCAGGAAGAGGAAUUGCCAAGGUGAAUGGAGUCUGAGAACACUAGUUAUUGUAAGGGACAGAGUAUGUAAAAACACUGAAAAGCCCUUCAGCGGACAGUCACCAUUUUGGGACUUCCCACCCCGGUGAGAUCUGGGACUGGACAGCUCUGUUGUAGGGGGCUGUCCUGUGCAGGUAAGGUGUUGAGUCUCUGCCUAGUGAUACCAGAAGCUCCCUUUCCACGCCUCCAAGCAUGAUAAAGAUCUUUGCACGCUGUAACACAUUCCCUGGGAACAAAGUCUCUAGUUGAGAACCGUUUUCUAGAUGUACAAUUAUGAAUCUCAAGCGUGGCUUUCUCUCCAGCUUUGUCCAUGGUGUCAUUUAAGAUGACUGAACUCUGACCGCCUUCAGGGGCUCUUCCUCAUGGAUGGCUCUGCCAUCUGACCUUCUGCAGUAAGAUCUUUCGUUUGCACUGUCCCAUCCUUAGCUUCUCUUUUUUCUCUUCCUUCUCCUCUUUCUUAUUCUAUGCACGGAAUGCAGCUCUGAGCAACCAUUCAAGGAUAGCUUAACAAUCAAUUCAGAGUUCUUUUUCCCUGAUGUCAUCUGUGACACCUUGAAUGAAGUCCAGACAAAAUUUUUCUAAUCAUUUCAAAAGAACAUGAAUGCUUUAUUUCUUAUCUGGGGUCUUACUGUUCUGCCUAGGGUAGCCUUGAACUCCCAGGCUCAAGUUAUGCUCAUGACUCAAACUUCUGAGUAUUGGAACUAAAAACAUAUGCCAUUACACCCACAGAUUAAGUAUUUUUUCAUUUGAAACAAAAAUCUAAGUUUGAGAAACUUAUGAGUUCUGAGAGGCCUUCGGAAGGAAUGGCAGAGUCACUAAUGCUAACAACAGCUCGGGCGCAUGGUACACUCUCUAUCGGUGCCACAGGCACAAUUCGAUCCAGUGCACUCUGUCACUGCUCUGUCAGUGCUUUGUAGUUGAGGGCACAGAGGUUUAAUGAAGUGAUUUAUUCAAGUCUCCAGAGCUGAAGGGGCAGCAUGAAGAGUUGAACCAAGGCAGCAUGACUCUCGGCUGUACUUCGACACCUCCCUCCCUGCCCCCAUCAUUUAGAUGUAGUCCUUAAGGGAUAAAGGGUCACCAAAUGAGACCUGAGCACAAGAGGAGGGGUGGCUUUUCAGGAGUUCUAAGAAGGCAUUGGCUGAGUCCUGAGGCUCCAGCUUGCAGUGGCUGGCCCUAUGCAAAUAACCAAGUGAAUGUGGUCCCAUUUCUGUUUCCAUCUGUCUUAGUGAAACUGCCUCUGCUUAGCGGGGUGGAGUAUUGCUUUCCAGUUUAGAAAGUUAAUCUACUGAGGGCAGCUGAAGUGAAGAAUAUGGUUCAAGAGAGUGACCCAGCUAGCAGGUGUUGGGGGCAGAAGGUGGGGGUGGAGAAUGGAGGGCCGCAGAAUUGAGAGGAAGUUGAACUUUUGAAUCAUUUAGGAACAUGGGGUGUGUGUGUGUGGGGGGGGGAAGUGUGUGCGUGUGUGGGGGAAGAAUCCAAAACUUUAAUAGCACCUACACCUUAGCUUUUCUAAAUUCUUUUUGAGGCUCAUUUUGUAUUUUCAAUAGAAAAACCAGAAAACCAUAGUUUCUAGGAUAUUUUUUGGUGGCACACACACACACACACCACAAAACAAAAC